CGAUACUUGAACCCGAGUCUUCCAGAAUGGAAAGCCGAAGCGUUCCCACGCGGCCAAUCCAGCUGACACUGUCACCAUUUAGGUUUUUAUCCCUCUGCAAUUCAACCCUUCGCCACUGUAGGCUUUUUGGGUCUUAAGACAGCGCCGGAAAGUGCUGCAGGCCUUCCUCCACCAAGAGGAGCUACAGGAGUGUUCUGCGAGAUGUAACUCGGUUUUAAUCAUUUCCCAACGCGGUAGGGACAGAGUCCACCACCUCCGGGUCUACUGUCAACGAAAGAGGCCUGGCUGAUCUAGUCGUGGAAGAUCCUUUGACUUCGGCACGGUAUUGCUGUAGCAAUCGGUAAUAGCUGACAAAGGGCAGUUUAAAGUAGCGCCAAGCAGCUGGCGAUCAAACAUUCCACUUUAAAGCAAAGCUAAAUGGCGGGAGGACCUCCCACUACAGGUGAACCUCGGAAAGUCAACCCGAACCACAACGAAUCGACGGCCGAGCCAAGGGCGGUUAAGCGCCACAAUUCUUCUGACUGUGUCAACACUUCAGACAGCACAAAAAGGUCUAAAAAGUGUAUUGCUCUUAGUGAUGAGGGUGAGCAAGCAGAGUCAAGGCGCAUACCACUCUGAAGUGAGACAAUCGCGAACGACCUCUAAGAGCGAGAAUCUCCCCCGCUUCAGCCCUGAUGCAGACACGUGCAACCGAAACUGCCGCAGCCCCCCGGUGGGACGAUAUCGGCCGACGCCGGGCAAUGGCCGGGCUCAAGCGCCUGGCCGUGGUCGAAUAUCGCUCAGAGCACUUUACCAGAUUUUACGAUUCCCUAGAGAAGCAAGCUCCCUUGAUCUGCGGAUGAAUCCCCUACAAUCUGGAUCGGAUAGGAACCGUUAGGGCUUCUAUCUUUCAGCAAUUCAUCUCGUGGCACGGUACACCACCUUGGGAUUUGGGACACUUUUUUGGUCAACAGAUGACGCCACUUUCCACUCAGUAAAAGUACUGAGUGGCGGGACGAAACAAGCCCUUCUA
rnacentral:lncRNA from 1 species